rnacentral:tRNA from 1 species
GCUCAUGUAGCUCAAUUGGAUAGAGCGACAGCCUUCUAAGCUGUAGGUUCUUGGUUCGAUUCCAAGCAUGGGCA